rnacentral:tRNA from 1 species
GAGGAUGGAGCUCAAAACAGAGCAUUUGCCUAGCAUGCAAAAGGCCUGGGGUUCAAUUCCUAAUACCUCA